rnacentral:rRNA from 1 species
CCUACGGGGGGCUGCAGUGGGGCAUAUUGGGCAAUGGGCGCAAGCCUGACCCAGCAACGCCGCGUGAAGGAAGAAGGCUCUCGGGUUGGAAACUCCUUUUAUCAGGGACGAAGCAAGUGACGGUACCUGAUGAAUAAGCCACGGCUAACUACGUGCCAGCAGCCGAGGUAAUACGGAGGGGGCAAACGUUAACCGGAUUUACUGGGUUUAAAGGGCGUGGAGGUGGGAAAGCAAGCCAGAUGUGAAAACCAUGGGCUGAACCUGUGGCCUGCAUUUGAAACUGUUGUUCUUGAGUACUGGAGAGGCAGACGGAAUGCCUAGUGUAGCGGUGAAAGGCGUAGAUAUUAGGAGGAACACCAGUGGCGAAGGCGGUCUGCUGGACAGCAACUGACGCUGAGGCGCGAAAGCGUGGGGAGCAAACAGGAUUAGAUACCCUGGUAGUC